rnacentral:rRNA from 1 species
UAAACUAGGAUUAGAUACCCUAUUAUUCUAAUUGUUAUGAAAAAGGCUUGAGUAGUAAUAGUUAUGUUCUUAAAACUCAAAGAAUUUGGCGGUGUUUUAGUCUUAUCAGAGGAAUUUGCCCCGUGAUCGAUAACCCACGUUUUACUUUACUUAGCUUGGUUAACAGCUUGUAUACCGCCGUCAGCAGGAUAUAUUAGGAAAUAAUAUUCAGGAAUUAUAAAUAUAACAUAUGUCAGGUCAAGGUGCAGUUUAUAGUUAAGAGGAGGUGAAUUACAAUAUGAAGAUAUAUUACGGAGUUGGGAGUGUAAACUUCUAAUAAAGGUGGAUUUGGGUGUAAUAAAAUAAAGAUAGAUUUUAUGAUAUAAAGCUCUAAAACAUGCACACAUCGCCCGUCGCCUCUC